rnacentral:rRNA from 1 species
UACGGAGGGUGCAAGCGUUAUCCGGAUUCACUGGGUUUAAAGGGUGCGUAGGCGGGCAGGUAAGUCAGUGGUGAAAUCUCCGAGCUUAACUCGGAAACUGCCAUUGAUACUAUUUGUCUUGAAUAUUGUGGAGGUAAGCGGAAUAUGUCAUGUAGCGGUGAAAUGCUUAGAUAUGACAUAGAACACCAAUUGCGAAGGCAGCUUACUACACAAUGAUUGACGCUGAGGCACGAAAGCGUGGGGAUCAAACGGG